UACGUAGGGUGCGAGCGUUGUCCGGAAUUACUGGGCGUAAAGAGCUCGUAGGUGGUUUUGUCGGCGUUGUCCGUGAAAACUCACAACUCAAUUGUGGGCGUGCGGGCGAUACGGGGCAGACUGGAGUACUGCAGGGGAGACUGGAAUUCCUGGUGUAGCGGUGGAAUGCGCAGAUAUCAGGAGGAACAGCCGGUGGCGAAGGCGGGUCUCUGGGCAGUAACUGACGCUGAGGAGCGAAAGCGUGGGGAGCGAACAGGAAUUAGAAACCCUUG
rnacentral:rRNA from 1 species